GCAGGUCCACGCGAGCGCUGGCCUGGAGGCUCGUGCUGCCCUCGUGCACAGCUCUCCCAUUGGCUGCCCGCUCCUUGUUUACCAGGAGCCCCACCAAUCAGCGAGGUCGCAGCAGCGCGUGGACACAGUGUGCUCCUGGCGGGGAAAAUGGUUGUUGUGCAUCGCUGCGGGGCUGGGAGGAGGGGGCGGAGGGGCUAUAGGGCGGCUUCCCCUGUGUCCAAGGAAGGAAUGCUUCGCUGACUCCAAAAUUUAGCCGAGGCCAGUGGUCUUCGAAGGGCGGGUGCGGAUGCUUUUGGAGUGGGAGCUAUAUUUUGAGGCAGAGUACAUCAUGAGAAAUUCCGGGCUGGAUGAAGCACAAGCCAGAAUCAAGAUUGCUGGGAGGAACAUCAACAACCUCAGAUAUGCAAAUGAUACCACCGUAUGGCAGAAAGCGAAGAGGAACUAAAGAGCCUCUUGAUGAAGGUGAAAGAGUGCUGCUGCAGUUUCUUGGCACUGAUUUUGAGAACCUGCAAUUACUGGACCAUGGAAAUUAUCUCUACUUCCUCGAGAAGAAAUGUGGGAAGGAACUUGCCAUGAAGUAUACAAGCAUCUGGAUCACUAGCACACUUAUUUAUUGAUUUUAUGGACCAGAGGCUCCUGAUCUCCAUAGAAACUGUGGAUCUUCUAACGUCUGAAAAAGGAUUAUCCUCUCAAUCAUGAAGGUGAAUUUGAGAAACUGAGUCGGGCAGAGCAGAGGCAGUGAAAGUAAUGAAAAAGGGAGAUUAGGGCUCAAAGCUUACUGAGGUGUGUCACAGGCGCUUGAGUAUAAAACUGCCUUCAGGGUUUCUUAAUGGGGCCUUAUUAACAUUAUGGGAGGGACAAUUUUGUAUGUGUGUAUGUGGAACUGUCCUGCCCAGUGCAGUACAUUUAGCAUUCUUAUCUCCCCUCCCGUCAAGUGCCAUCCCCAGUCAAUGUAAAUUUUUAAAUGCCCCUACAUGUUUCCAAAGGCCCCCUAGAAGGUGGUUGAGGAAUACUACCAGAUAUUCCUAAUCCUUGGUAGUCUCAUACUACCAUGACAUAAACUGGUUUAGCAGAAGGGGACUAUCCUUGCUUUAGCAAGAUACAGGACAUUUCUAUCAAAGGAUCCCCUAUGUAGCCCCACUCACUUCCCUCCUAUCAUCAUCUCCACCUUAAUAUCUAGCAACAACUAAUCUGAUCUCCAUUUCUAUAAAAAUGCUAUAUAAACAGGUUAGAGUAUAUAACCUUUGGGGAUUGGCAUUUAUCACACAGCAGAAUUCUCUGGAGAUUCAUCCAAGUUAUGUGUAUAUCAAUAGUUUGUUCUUUUUUAUUGCUGAGUACUAUUCCAUGCUAUAGAUGUACCACAGUUUCUUUAACCAUUCACUUGUUAAAGGACAUCUGUGUUGUUUCCAGUUUUUGGCUUUUCAUUAAUAGAUUUGCACAUAGGUUUUUUUGUGUGAACAUUAGUUUUUAUUUCUCUGGGAUAAAUGCCCAGGAGUGUAAACACUGGAUCAUGUAAAAAUUGCAUAGUUAGGGUUUUUCUUUAAAUAGACUUUUUUUUUCUGUAAAUAAACUGUUUUCCACAGUGGUUGUACUGUUCUACAUUCCCACAAGCAAUGUAUGACUGAUCCAGUUUCUCUGCAUUGUUCUCACCAGCAUUUGAGAUUGUCAUUUUAAAUUUUAGCCAUUCUGAUAGGUAUGUUGUGAUAUCUAGUUGUGGUUUUAAUUUGUAUUUCCCUAAUGGCUAAUGAUGCUGAACAUCCUUUCAUGUGUUUAUUUGCUAUCUGUAUAUCCUCUUUGGGGAAAUGUUCCAUCAUGUCUUUUGAUCAUUUUCUCAUUGUAUUUUUUUUUGGUACCAUUGAGUUAGAGAGUUCUUGUAUAUUCUACACAAUAAUCCUUUCUUGGAUAUAUGGUUUACACAUAUUUUUUCCCAGUUAGCUUGUCUUUUUCAUUCUCAUAAUAGUAUCUUUUGCAGAGCAAAUAUAUUUACUUUUGAUGACAUCUUAUUAUUCAAUUUUUCCUUUUACAGAUUAUAUUUUUGGUGUCAAAUUUUUGUCUAACCUUAGAUCAUGAAGAAUUUCUCCUCUGUUUUUUUCUAAAAAUUUUAUGCUUCACAUUUAAACUGUUGAUCCACUUUGGUGUUAGUUUUUGUAUAAAGUAUGAGACUUAGGUUGAAAGUUUUGUUUGUUUGCUCUUUAUUUGUUUGCCUAUGGAUAUCCAAUUUCUUCAGCAAUAUGUAUUGAAAAAGCUAUUCUUUCUCCAUUAAAUUGUUUUUUCACCUUUGUGAAAAAAAUAAACUGGCAUAUUUGUUUUGGUCUGCUGCUGAGUUCGCUAUUCUGUUUCAUUGAUCUGAUAUUUAUCUUUCUGCCAAUACCAUACCAUCUUUACUGCUGUAGCUUUUUAAUAAACCUUGAAAAUGGAUGAGCUGAUUCUUCCCACUUAAUUCUUUUUCAAAACAUGUUUUAGCUAUUCUAGUUCCUUUGCCUUUCCACACAAGUUUUAUAAUAAUUUUGUCUAUGUCUACAAAAAAAGUCUUGCUAGGAUUUCCCUGUUACUCAGUUUUAAAUUGUGGCAAAAUACAUAAAACACAAAGUUCACAAUUUUAACCAUUUUAAAGUAUACAUUUCCUUGGCGUUUAGUACCUUCGAAUUGUUAUGCAACCAUCACCAUUAUCUAGUUCCAGACAUUUUCAUCACCCCAAAAGGAAGCCCUGUUCCCUGUGAAGUCAUUCCCCAACUUCUGGCAAUGACUGAUUGCUUUCUGUCUGUAUGGACUGGUCCAUUCUGGACAUUUCAUAUAAAUGAAAUCAUAUGUGGCUCAUGUCAUUUAGCAUGUUUUAGAGGUUCAUCAAAGUAGUAGCAUGUCAGUACUUCAUUCUUUCUUUUUUAAAAAUGUCUAUUCAUUUGACUGUGUCAGGUCCCAGCUGGCACACAGGGUCCGUGCUGCGUCAUGCAGAUCCUUCAUUGUAGCGCACCGGACUCUCUAGUUGUGGCACCAGGGCUUAGCAGCUGCAUGGCAUGUGAGAUCCCAGCUCCCCAACCAGCAAUCAAACCCACGUCCUCUGCAUUAUAAGGCAGACUCUUAACCACUGGACCACCAGGAAAGUCCCUUUGUUCUUUCUUAUGUUCAAAUAGUAUACCAUUGUAUGUAUAUACUGCAGUUUGUUUAUCCAUUUAUUCAUCAGUGAACCCUGGGGCUAUUUCUACCUUUUGGCUAUUGCUAGUAUCAUGCUGCUAUGAGUGUGCAUGUACAAGUAUUUUUUUGAGUACCUGCUCUCAGUUCUUUGGUAUCUAUACCAAGCAGAGAAAUUACUGGAUUGUAUUCUAUGUUUAACAUAUUGAGAAGCUGCCAAACUGUGCUCCACAGCAGCUGCAACAUUUUAUAUUCCUGCCACAAGUGGAUUAAGGUUUCAAUUUCACCUUAUUCUCAUCAACACUUGUUAUUUU